ACCUGCAUCGAAAGUGACUCUGGUCUUCCCUGUGACCUAGUCAUUGAUAGUGCAGGGAGAGGAGCCUGUGAAAGUUUUUCCCGUGUUUGGGGGCUCAUUCCCAUCCCUCACAAACCCUGUAACUUUCAGACA
rnacentral:snoRNA from 1 species